AUUCCUGGUGUAGCGGUGAAAUGCGCAGAUAUCAGGAGGAACACCGGUGGCGAAGGCGGGUCUCUGGGCCGAUACUGACGCUGAGGAGCGAAAGCGUGGGGAGCGAACAGGAUUAGAUACCCUGGUAGUCCACGCCGUAAACGUUGGGCGCUAGGUGUGGGGGCCAUUCCACGGUCUCCGUGCCGCAGCUAACGCAUUAAGCGCCCCGCCUGGGGAGUACGGCCGCAAGGCUAAAACUCAAAGGAAUUGACGGGGGCCCGCACAAGCGGCGGAGCAUGUUGCUUAAUUCGAUGCAACGCGAAGAACCUUACCUAGGCUUGACAUGCACGGAAAUCCCGCAGAGAUGCGGGGUCCGUAAGGGCCGUGCACAGGUGGUGCAUGGUUGUCGUCAGCUCGUGUCGUGAGAUGUUGGGUUAAGUCCCGCAACGAGCGCAACCCUCGUUCCAUGUUGCCAGCGGAUUAUGCCGGGGACUCAUGGGAGACUGCCGGGGUCAACUCGGAGGAAGGUGGGGAUGACGUCAAAUCAUCAUGCCCCUUAUGUCUAGGGCUGCAAACAUGCUACAAUGGCCGGUACAAAGGGCUGCGAUACCGCGAGGUGGAGCGAAUCCCAAAAAGCCGGUCUCAGUUCGGAUUGGGGUCUGCAACUCGACCCCAUGAAGUUGGAGUCGCUAGUAAUCGCAGAUCAG
rnacentral:rRNA from 1 species